GUAGCCGAUGGACAACAGGUUGAUAUUCCUGUACCACUUAUUAAACUGAUGGAGUGACGGAGAAGGCUAAGUUGAGCGUGUGAUUGGAUUCACGUGUAAGCAGUGAGGUGGUCAUGUAGGCAAAUCCGCAUGGCAUAACAUUGAGCUGUGAUGCCGAAGCCGAAUGGCGAAGUCAACUGACGUCACGCUUCCAAGAAAAGCUUCUAGGGUUAAUUUAAUAAGUGCCCGUACCGAUAACCGACACAGGUAGGCGAGGAGAGAAUCCUAAGAUGAGCGAGAGAACUCUUGUUAAGGAACUCGGCAAAAUGACCCCGUAACUUCGGGAGAAGGGGUGCUUGUGAAAGCAAGCCGCAGUGAAUAGGCCCAGGCGACUGUUUAUCAAAAACACAGGUCUCUGCUAAACCGCAAGGUGAUGUAUAGGGGCUGACGCCUGCCCGGUGCUGGAAGGUUAAGAGGAGAGGUUAGCGCAAGCGAAGCUUUGAAUUGAAGCCCCAGUAAACGGCGGCCGUAACGAUAACGGUCCUAAGGUAGCGAAAUUCCUUGUCGGGUAAGUUCCGACCCGCACGAAAGGCGUAACGAUCUGGGCGCUGUCUCAACAAGAGACUCGGUGAAAUCAUAGUACCUGUGAAGAUGCAGGUUACCCGCGACAGGACGGAAAGACCCCGUGGAGCUUUACUGUAGCUUGAUAUUGAGCACUGGUGGCACAUGUACAGGAUAGGUAGGAGACGAAGAAACCAGGACGCCAGUCUUGGUGGAGUCGCUGUUGGGAUACUACCCUUGUGUCACUGGGGUUCUAACCCGUGGCCCUUAUCGGGUCAGGGAACAGUGUCAGGUGGGCAGUUUGACUGGGGCGGUCGCCUCCCAAAGAGUAACGGAGGCGCCCAAAGGUUCCCUCAGAAUGGUUGGAAAUCAUUCGAAGAGUGUAAAGGCAGAAGGGAGCUUGACUGCGAAACCUACAAGUCGAGCAGGGACGAAAGUCGGGCUUAGUGAUCCGGCGGUACCGAAUGGAAGGGCCGUCGCUCAACGGAUAAAAGCUACCCCGGGGAUAACAGGCUGAUCUCCCCCAAGAGUUCACAUCGACGGGGAGGUUUGGCACCUCGAUGUCGGCUCAUCGCAUCCUGGGGCUGUAGUCGGUCCCAAGGGUUGGGCUGUUCGCCCAUUAAAGCGGUACGCGAGCUGGGUUCAGAACGUCGUGAGACAGUUCGGUCCCUAUCCGUCGUGGGCGUAGGAAAUUUGAGAGGAGCUGUCCUUAGUACGAGAGGACCGGGAUGGACACACCGCUGGUGUACCAGUUGUUCUGCCAGGAGCAUAGCUGGGUAGCUACGUGUGGACGGGAUAAACGCUGAAAGCAUCUAAGCGUGAAGCCCCCCUCAAGAUGAGAUUUCCCAUUCGAAAGAAGUAAGAUCCCUUGAAGACGACGAGGUUGAUAGGUCAGGAGUGGAAGUGUGGUGACACAUGGAGCGGACUGAUACUAAUCGAUCGAGGACUUAACCU
rnacentral:rRNA from 1 species